UUAAGGCGUAAAUCCUAGGGUUUGCUGGAGGUCUUAGUAACUAGAGCUAUUAGUGGAUUUCCUUCCUGGAUUGGUAUCCCCCAGAGUAGGCAGUUGGCUGAACUGGGUUAACAAUUACUUGUGUCAUUUAUUUAUUUUUCUGUCAGUUUUUAUAUGUUAUAUAAGAUGUGCCAACAAUAGCAAACAACAUUGUUCACAAAGUAGUUGUUGGGACAUCUUA
rnacentral:lncRNA from 1 species